CUAGUUUAAAAAAAUCUAUGACUACUGAAAAAUCCAAGGAAACAUCUCAUACAUUUCAUGUAUUAAUAAUGAUCUGAUUACUCAAUCUGUCAGUUCUGAGUCAUGUAUACCUACGUUAGAUAAUAGGAAUAGAACUCCACUUUUGACAAAUUCAAACUCAAUUCCAUCUUUGAAUUCAUCGGAAAUAGCACAAUCGCCAAUACUUACCACAGAUUCGGUACAAAGAUCCCCAUCAGUAUCUUCACCAAGAAAUAUAUCUGCAAAAUCAACGCUAUUACCAAAUUCAACAUCUCUUAACAACAGAGAUCCAUUUUUGGAUUUAACAAAUUCGAACUUAGUUCCACCUCUAAAUUCAUCGGAAACAACGCAAAUUUCAAAUUCCAAUAUAGUGCCAAUACAAAGACCAUCUCUAUCAAUUUCUCCACAAAUUGAUAAAUCUUCAAGAUCAACGCCAUCACCAAAAUCAACAUCAAGCAUUCCUAAAUGUAACAUACCUAGUGGAAAAAUGAAUAUCAAUAGUUCAACUCUCAAACCGAGUUAAAGAUAAACAAAAUGAAGGAUCAUGCUUUAGCAAAUUUAAUUCUUAAGGAAUUACAAGAUGCUGAAGAACCAAAUAAAUCAAUGCUUCGAAAGAAAAUUAUGCAAACUUUAAUGGACCAUAUGAAUAACUCGUAAACUGAUUAAUUGCACA